UAAGUAUGGCGGCCGCGGCGUUGUUCAC
rnacentral:piRNA from 1 species